GAAAAAAAAAAUUUAAACCCCAAACUUUAAAAAGGUAGUGUAAACUUUUAACUUUUUUUGUUUAACCUAUUUUGUCCCAGUACUCAAGAAUUGGUGCAUUACAUAACCUCUCUGAUUGUUUUCUAUCAGUCAUACAUGACAGCUGAAAAAAAGCUUGUUCAAGUAUUUAAAGUCUGUAAGAAUUAUUCACACUCACAUCUCCUAUGGUUCUACAAUGUCUGUCAAUAUUGCUUUCCAUUAUGUUUUCAUUAUUAUUUGUGUAUAACGGAUAAAAAGAUUUGAUGUGAGCAGCAGGAUAAACUUACAAAAAAAAGGUAAGGUUAAAAAGGUACAUCCUGGGCAGCUUCAUAACCAAUCAUAUAUAAAUGUUGGAUUUGUACAUGUUUCAUGCAAAAAAAAAAAAAAAAUUCUGAAGGAGCACUAAAAAAAUUGUUUUAGAAUAAGGAAAUCUGAUCGGGCGUUUGUCCAGGUCUCCUCCUCUCCACUUAGCACUGCUGGAAUAUCAUAGGGCCCAUGAUAGAUCCUUGUGGAGCUCCUGCUCUUGUGUGGUUUGGACAAGCGUUUGAUAUGAAAUGAGAGUGUGGCGCCAGAGAGGCCUAUUCCGAGUGAAGCUCUAUGAAUAAAAUAAUAUUUUCACA